rnacentral:lncRNA from 1 species
CUUUGCUGCAGGCAGCCCAGGAAGGGAGGCUGGGGUGCUUUGCUCCCUGCUGCAGUCCCUAAAGCACAGCGAGAUCUCCAGGCCACCACUGAGCCAACACUCCAGAUCCCCUGGGUGUGCUCAGGAAGGCACAACUUAAUGGGGCAAAACUGCUGAAUUCUGCUUUUCUGGAGGAGGGAAUGCUAAUUUAAUGAGUGUGUGUGUGUCUUGGUUUCAGUGCUGCUCUGGGACUGAACUCUUCUGUUUCCUGCUGCUGGAGCUCUUGGAUGAUGAAGCAGGUUGGGGUAUGGAUUUCCUGCCCAUCUCUCUGUUGGGGAUCAGUAAUCAGCAGCACCACAAAUUCAUCAACAAUUUUACCUUUCCUUGCCUCUGCCUUACCUCCCUGCAUGGCAUUUGCUGAGAGAUGACUUUUGCCCAUCAGUUUGCAGAGAGUCCCACACAAGUUGUAAAUAAGGAGCUGGCCAGAGGGAAUUGUGGAAUUAUUCUACCUUUUCCUCCUGAG